rnacentral:rRNA from 1 species
AACCUCCGCAAUGUGAGAAAUCGCGACGGGGGGAUCCCAAGUGCCAUUCUUAACGGGAUGGCUUUUCAUUAGUGUAAAGAGCUUUUGGAAUAAGAGCUGGGCAAGACCGGUGCCAGCCGCCGCGGUAACACCGGCAGCUCUAGUGGUAGCAAUUUUUAUUGGGCCUAAAGCGUCCGUAGCCGGUUUAAUAAGUCUCUGGUGAAAUCCUGCAGCUUAACUGUGGGAAUUGCUGGAGAUACUAUUAGACUUGAGACCGGGAGAGGUUGGAGGUACUCCCAGGGUAGAGGUGAAAUUCUGUAAUCCUGGGAGGACCGCCUGUUGCGAAGGCGUCUAACUGGAACGGUUCUGACGGUGAGGGACGAAAGUUAGGGGCGCGAACCGGAUUAGAUACCCGGGUAGUCCUAACUGUAAACGAUGCGGACUUGGUGUUGGGGUGGCUUUGAGCUGUCCCAGUGCCGAAGGAAGCUGUUAAGUCCGCCGCCUGGGAAGUACGGUCGCAAGACUGAAACUUAAAGGAAGU